rnacentral:rRNA from 1 species
AUUGAACGCUGGCGGCAGGCCUAACACAUGCAAGUCGAGCGGAUGAAGGGAGCUUGCUCCUGGAUUCAGCGGCGGACGGGUGAGUAAUGCCUAGGAAUCUGCCUGGUAGUGGGGGAUAACGUCCGGAAACGGGCGCUAAUACCGCAUACGUCCUGAGGGAGAAAGUGGGGGAUCUUCGGACCUCACGCUAUCAGAUGAGCCUAGGUCGGAUUAGCUAGUUGGUGGGGUAAAGGCCUACCAAGGCGACGAUCCGUAACUGGUCUGAGAGGAUGAUCAGUCACACUGAAAUGGAAACCCGGCCCAGACCCCUCCGGAGGGCAGAGGGGGGAAAUUUUGGCAAGGGGCGAAACCCUUAAUCCACCAAGGCCGGGGGUGAGAGGAAGGUUUCCGUUUUGAAAGCCUUUUAAGGUGGGAAGAAGGGGCAGUAAUUAAUUCCCUGCUUUUUUUGCCGUAACAAAAAAAAAAGCAACCGCCUAAUUUCG